rnacentral:rRNA from 1 species
GACGAACGCUGGCGGCGUGCCUAAUACAUGCAAGUAGAACGCUGAAGGAGGAGCUUGCUUCUCUGGAUGAGUUGCGAACGGGUGAGUAACGCGUAGGUAACCUGCCUGGUAGCGGGGGAUAACUAUUGGAAACGAUAGCUAAUACCGCAUAAUAGCAGUUGUUGCAUGACAACUGUUUGAAAGGUGCAAUUGCACCACUACCAGAUGGACCUGCGUUGUAUUAGCUAGUUGGUGGGGUAACGGCUCACCAAGGCGACGAUACAUGGCCGACCUGAGAGGGUGAUCGGCCACACUGGGACUGAGACACGGCCCAGACUCCUACGGGAGGCAGCAGUAGGGAAUCUUCGGCAAUGGACGGAAGUCUGACCGAGCAACGCCGCGUGAGUGAAGAAGGUUUUCGGAUCGUAAAGCUCUGUUGUAAGAGAAGAACGAGUGUGAGAGUGGAAAGUUCACACUGUGACGGUAUCUUACCAGAAAGGGACGGCUAACUACGUG